AGCUCCAAGCAAGCUCCAGACGCCGACUGAGAGUGGGUUUGGUUACAGUGGAGCGGGGGAUAGUCUCAUUGGUGUGCGACGAUUUGAAUGGGCGUGACUCCAACGGGAAUAAGCCCCGCCCACUUUUUAAAGUCGAGAACCUACAUUUAAGAGAAAAGACACUAUCAGCCACCAGGCGUGGAGGAAUGGGAAGGUCAGCCCAGAGGUUCUGGGUCGUGGGGGCAGCAGAAUCAGCAGGGACUUCCAGACCUCCCUCUCCCCACACACUUUCUCCAGCUCUGCUGGGGAAAGCUAGAGGUGCUCCCAUCCCCGCCGAGAGUCCAUCCAGCAUUUCCUGGGUCAUCCCCUGGGACUCCUUCCUGCAGAACACCUCCCAAGGAGGUGUUCUAGGCAGCCAAGAGGUCCAUGAUUACUCUGGAGAGAUUUGGGAAUUUCACACUACAAGCGAGAAAAUCAUUUGUGCUCUGUAUAAAUAUCUUUUAUGGAACAGACGUGAGAGAUGAUUCUCAUCUUCCAGCAGGGCAAAAACUGUAAACAUACAGCCAGUGGGUGGAAUCCCAUCUACUCUCUUUACACUGCUCUGUUAUCCACAAAACAGACAUAGUUGUGAGGUUUAUGGACAAAAUCCACCAGAGGGUCUCAUAUAUAAUAAUUAUGAGACCUGCUACAGAGAAGAGGUCCACAAUCUGACACAGUGGUUUUCCAGGAAAAACCUUGCUGGGGUGUGUUGGCCUAGUGGUUAGAGCAGUGCGCUUGUGCUUUGAGAAGGUUGUAAGUACCCAGUUCGAUCCCCACAGCCUCCACUCUGGGUUCCUGAGCAAAAAAACCUUAACCCCAUACUGCUCCCUGGGCACUGCACAAUGGCAGCCCACUGCUCCCCAAGGGGAUGGGUUAAUUGCAGAGGUAAAUUUCUCUAGUGUGAGAUCAAUAAAGUUUAAAUUAUUUUUAUCCUGAACACCAGUAACCAUAAGGAGGACAUAGUAGACUGCAAGAGGUCCAGGAAACCUGACUUUGCUCAUUUCUGCAUAGACUGGAAAGUGGUGUAAUUUAUGGCUGUGUAAAGUUCCUGGGCAUUCACGCUUACUCUGACCUCUAUUGGAACUCCCAUGUGGUGAGGAAGACCCAACAACAGCACCUAUUUCUCAGAAAGAAUUGACACUUCUACAGCACCAUGAUUUAAAGCAUCCUCAAUCUCAGCAUUAAGUUGUGGUAUGGAAGCUGUCUGGCACAAGGUAGGAAGGAUUUAGUCCUGAUAGUGAAGAUAGUGAGUGGGAUUGUCGGAUGCCUUCUACCAGAUCUAGACACAGUCAAUGGGACUUGCAGAAAAAGGUCAAACCAAUUACUAAAGGUACCCCACCCACUUCCAUCAAGAAAAUAGUUUCAGCUGCAUUAAAUCCAGAGCAAAUAGACCUAAAACAGUUUGUCUCUCAAAGAUUUGAAUUUCCUAUAAGAAUUUCCUCCCACAGUCCAAAAACAUUACUGUUAGAUUAAUUGGCCUCUCUAAAUUGUCCUUAGGUGUGAGUGUGUGUCUGCAUUGUUGUGUGUCUCUGUUUUGCCCUGUGGCAGACUGGCGACCUGACCAGGGAGCACCCCGCCUGCGCUUAGGCUGCCGAAGAUAGGCACAGGCCCCACUGCAGCCGUACAUAAAAAGUUGUGUGUAUUUUGAGCACUGUAAAUUGCGCUUUACAAAAAAAAGUCUGGUUAGAUAAGAUUGGCUUACAUUUGAGAAAAAAUUAUUUUAUCAUCAGGUAUAAAACAUGCGUCUGUUUCUAGGGAUAACACUGUAAUCCAAAGCACAAGUUAGCUUCAAUAAAAACCCCAAAAUAAAAACUUAGUAUCAGUUAAUGUUAUUUAUUGGAUGAAAUAAAUACAAAAAAAAAUCUCUCUUGACAAAUUAUUUAAUAUGACCUGCUACACCCAAACUCACACAUUUAUAAGUCAAGAUCAAAAAGCCACUGUUGCAUUCAAAACUCUGAGCUAUGUACAUUAAUAAACUUGACACAGGCCUUUUUCAUUACAUAUGAACUCAUGAAGAACAUUACCAACCCCCAUAUUACCCAACGCUUUCUUCCUUAGGAUGCAUAUUAGAUUAAAGAUUUCAUUGUCACACUCAAUGCACUUAGAGUGUUGGCAAACUAAAUCACAAGGAGACAGCAUGUCAUAGAAGAGACACCUUGGGUUGACUAAGUCAUGACAAGCCAGCACAAAUCGAUGAGAUGGACUAAUCGGAUGUAUCUGCUGGGACAAGCUCUGCACUGAAUCCAAAUGAUAGACACCAGAUGGGGACUGAUGCUGCCAUUAGUACACAAUCAGUGCAGCAGACACAGAAAUGUAAGGACAGGGGCCUCCUAUUCAUCGAGGCAUCAGCUUUUCAGGAGGCGCAGUCAAGGUCCCCCUUUUCAGAGAGGAAGAGCAGGAGUGUAUUAAAGAGGAUGGAUCGUCUUUGUCUGGGCAGGUGCAAAAACAUGUAAACGCACAUGAAGAGAAAUAUAUUGAAGAAAGAAAAUAAUAAGCACUUAUUUGAACAUUCCAAGGAUAUAAAAUUCUAAUCACGGUAAAUCUUUUAUGUCUAUAAACUGAGGGGAUGAAUCGUGCACUUUUAGUUAUUAGAUUACUAUUUUUAAAGCAGAGAGGCAGCAAACUAAUUGAAGUUUCUGCCAGAUAACAGAGCUUGUCACUCUAUGCUCAUGGCUGAGCACAGCCACCCUUUAGAGCAGGGGUGUCAAACUGGUUCCAGAAAGGGCCGUGU